UACAGAGGUCCCAAGCGUUGUUCGGAUUCAUUGGGCGUAAAGGGUGUGUAGGUGGCGCCGUAAGUCGGGUGUGAAAUUUCGGAGCUUAACUCCGAAACUGCAUUCGAUACUGCGGUGCUUGAGGACUGGAGAGGAGACUGGAAUUCAUGGUGUAGCAGUGAAAUGCGUAGAGAUCAUGAGGAAGACCAGUGGCGAAGGCGGGUCUCUGGACAGUUCCUGACACUGAGACACGAAGGCCAGGGGAGCAAACGGGA
rnacentral:rRNA from 1 species